rnacentral:pre_miRNA from 1 species
UCUUUGGUUAUCAAGCAGUAUGAUUGUCACACUUGAAACGGCCAGUGACACAACAACACGCGCACUUGUGCUCGCGUGAUUGUUUCUGUGUCGAUGACACUCGGCUCGUCUAACAUCAUAAAGCUAGGUGACCAAAGU